rnacentral:rRNA from 1 species
GAUGAACGCUGGCGGCGUGCCUAAUACAUGCAAGUCGAGCGAACGGGCGAGAAUCUGGCUUCUCUGAUGUUAACGGCGGAAGGGUGAGGAACGCGUGGAUAACCUACCUAUAAGACUGGUAUAACCUCGGGAAACCGAAGCUAAUACCGGAUAAUAUUUUGAACCUCAGGGUUCAAAAGUGAAAGACGGUCUUGCUGUAACUUAUGGAUGGAUCCUCGCUGCAUUAGCUAGUUGGUAAGGUAACGGCUUACCAAGGCAACGAUGCAUAGCCGACCGGAGAGGGGGUUGGCCGCCUCGGGCAGCGAGCAACGGCACAGAGUCUUAGGGGCGGCACAGACAGGGACUCGUCGGAACUGGGGGAAAUAUUGCAGGAGCAACGCAGGGUGGGUGAUGAAGGUCUUCGGACCGGAAAACUGCGUUCUUAGGGAAGACCAUAUGUGUAAGUAACUGUGCAUAUCGUGACGGUACCUAAUCAGAAAGCCACGGCUAACUACGUG